GUGAAGAUGCAGUGUACCCGCGGCAAGACGGAAAGACCCCGUGAACCUUUACUAUAGCUUGACACUGAACAUUGAGCCUUGAUGUGUAGGAUAGGUGGGAGGCUUUGAAGCGUGGACGCCAGUCUGCGUGGAGCCGGCCUUGAAAUACCACCCUUUAAUGUUUGAUGUUCUAACGUGGACCCGUGAUCCGGGUUGCGGACAGUGUCUGGUGGGUAGUUUGACUGGGGCGGUCUCCUCCUAAAGAGUAACGGAGGAGCACGAAGG
rnacentral:rRNA from 1 species